rnacentral:rRNA from 1 species
ACGAACGCUGGCGGCACGCUUAACACAUGCAAGUCGAACGAGAGAAGAGAAGCUUGCUUUUCUGAUCUAGUGGCGGACGGGUGAGUAACACGUGAGCAAUCUGCCUUUCAGAGGGGGAUACCGAUUGGAAACGAUCGUUAAUACCGCAUAAUAUAAUUGAACCGCAUGAUUUGAUUAUCAAAGAUUUAUCGCUGAAAGAUGAGCUCGCGUCUGAUUAGCUAGUUGGUAAGGUAACGGCUUACCAAGGCGACGAUCAGUAGCCGGACUGAGAGGUUGAUCGGCCACAUUGGGACUGAGACACGGCCCAGACUCCUACGGGAGGCAGCAGUGGGGAAUAUUGCACAAUGGAGGAAACUCUGAUGCAGCGAUGCCGCGUGAGGGAAGAAGGUUUUAGGAUUGUAAACCUCUGUCUUCAGGGACGAAAAAAGACGGUACCUGAGGAGGAAGCUCCGGCUAACUACGUGCCAGCAGCCGCGGUAAUACGUAGGGAGCGAGCGUUGUCCGGAAUUACUGGGUGUAAAGGGAGCGUAGGCGGGAUCGCAAGUCAGAUGUGAAAACUAUGGGCUUAACCCAUAAACUGCAUUUGAAACUGUGGUUAUUGAGGGAAGUAGAGGUAAGCGGAAUUCCUAGUGUAGCGGUGAAAUGCGUAGAUAUUAGGAGGAACAUCAGUGGCGAAGGCGGCUUACUGGGCUUUAACUGACGCUGAGGCUCGAAAGCGUGGGGAGCAAACAGGAUUAGAUACCCUGGUAGUCCACGCCGUAAACGAUGAUUACUAGGUGUGGGGGGACUGACCCCUUCCGUGCCGCAGCAAACGCAAUAAGUAAUCCACCUGGGGAGUACGACCGCAAGGUUGAAACUCAAAGGAAUUGACGGGGGCCCGCACAAGCAGUGGAGUAUGUGGAUUAAUUCGAAGCAACGCGAAGAACCUUACCAGGUCUUGACAUCGUAUGCAUAGCUCAGAGAUGAGUGAAAUCUCUUCGGAGACAUAUAGACAGGUGGUGCAUGGUUGUCGUCAGCUCGUGUCGUGAGAUGUUGGGUUAAGUCCCGCAACGAGCGCAACCCUUACUGUUAGUUGCUACGCAAGAGCACUCUAGCAGGACUGCCGUUGACAAAACGGAGGAAGGUGGGGAUGACGUCAAAUCAUCAUGCCCCUUAUGACCUGGGCCUCACACGUACUACAAUGGCUGUAAACAGAGGGAUGCAAAGCCGCGAGGUGGAGCGAACCCCUAAAAGCAGUCUUAGUUCGGAUUGUAGGCUGCAACCCGCCUACAUGAAGUCGGAAUUGCUAGUAAUCGCAGAUCAGCAUGCUGCGGUGAAUACGUUCCCGGGCCUUGUACACACCGCCCGUCACGCCAUGGGAGUCGGUAACACCCGAAGCCUGUAGUCUAACCGCAAGGAGGACGCAGUCGAAGGUGGGAUUGAUGACUGGGGUG